GUCUCCGCGCCGCGGCCGCCGCACCCCGAGGUGCCGGUGUCCCGCCCGGACAGACCCCCGCGGCCCCCGGCGGAGCUCCGGGCGCGAAUGCACAGCGUACGGCUUCAGCGGCCCCGCACGCCUCGCCAGCUGCCUGCCUUGGCGCCGAACCCAUCGCCCUCGCCGUCCGGUGGCCGCCGAGGGGCCAGAAUAAGGGUGAAGAAAAAAACCUGCCCAUUCCGGAAAGAUAUCUGCAGUGUUUGGAUUUUGAUCUCUCUAUUCAACCUUUCAAACACCAUCUCCUUAACACAGCACAAAAGACCUGCUCCAGGUAGUAUCAAAAGGUAGCAUCCUUUGCUAAAAUUAUAUUCUGAUUUUUAUAUAUAUAUAUAUAUAUAAAUGAAAGUGCAAAAAGCUUCCAUGCAGUACAGGAAAACAAAAAAAGGCUAUAUUCUAACCUGCUGAUGAAAAGAUAGGUUUCCUGGCUUGCUUUAUGGAUGACUUAUUUAUGGUACAACAUAUUCAAUUUUGGUCCUUAAAGGUGACCUCUGCCUUCCCCUCGCAGCCUCCCCAAACCAACAGGCAUUUUUAAUUAUAUAAAACCUUGUUUUCAAACAUAAUUUCCUUGGGUGUGUUCUGAGAUGCGUUGGCAAAGCACAGAGAAAAUGCACUCAUGAUGGAGCUUCAUCAAAAAUACUGAUGGGAAGCCAAUAGCUGGUUUGUGGUCAUCGAGCAGUAAUAAUUGAAAGCGGCAUAACUAGAUAUCCAGAAUUUUUUUAAACAGAUUUUACCUAUCAUGCUGAAUGGCCUAUAAACUAGGAGAAAUCAUUUAAUCCAUCACUGAUGGAUGGUGAUUGGCGUAAGCACGCAGUCAUUGGAUUUGUUUAUAACAGUUUGUGGAAAUCACAGAAAAUGUAGGGCCUUGUCAAGAAAAAAGGAGAGCAUGUGAGUUCAGAGUGCUGAAGUUCAGUUUACAACAGCUUACUGUCUACGCAAGUGAGAAUAUUUUUUUUUGAGUAACGCUGCAAACAAGGGCAUUUGAGUAGUCAUUCAUUAAUACAAUAUAACUAUUAGUUAAAGUUUAACAAGCCAGCUUACAUAUGCUGUUAUGCUGUAUGACAUUUCUUAGCAACAGCACUUGAAAUAUUUACUUAUUUUCCUUACCAUAAAUAAUGAAAUACCCAAGAUCCCGUUUGCCUUUUCCUUCUGUUAAACAAUGCAUGUUCAUGUCUAGAUUUAAAUGGGUCACAUUUUCUGUCCUGAGCUACCAGAGACUUCAGCUAUUUUUAUACGGAGCAGCUUACCCUAAUUUCAGAGUUAAAUUUAUAUAGAAUGGAUUUAUUUCUAGUUUCUUCAGUGAAAGUUUCAUGCACUUUAUUUCAUAAGCUUAUUUCUUUCUGUCUCAUAAUCCAAAAGGUUGCAUCAGAGAACAGUUGGUAGGAAGCUCAGUUUGCUCCCCAAGGGGUGUGUUAUUUGCAGAGCAUAUGUCAGAGCAGGUACUGGAAUGCGGGGUCACGUUUCUAAAUACAGAUAUUCAAGUAUUAGGUGUCAAAAUAGAAGUGGCCUAAUUUACAGCAUCAUAAAGGUUUGCAGUCGUUGAGGUGAGCAGUUAAAUGCUGUCGUUUCUAGUGAAAGGCUCAAGCUCUCAGCUGUUAAGAGGAAACUACGGUUGGUGUAAAUGAAGUUGAUUAGAAAGGCAAUGAAGAUGUCCCCCCUCUUCUACCCCACUUGGCAAAGAGGUCGAGGCAGAACACAAUACAGCCUCAUCAGAUGCAUCAACAUCUCCUUCGUGUGAGCCUAUGGCACCAUCUACGGGUGAGAUUGCUGGCCAAACCACUUGUCCCACUUUCCCCUCUCCCAAGGGCUUGUCUGCACUGCAGCUCCCCAUCCCCAAGGAUGCCCUUGUUUCACAACCACCCCGGCUCUCCAUCACAGCUGGACAUGGAUGGCGUGCCGCCCCCUCGCACCGCCCGGCUCCCGGCAGGCGAGGUUGGCACUCCUUCUCACUUUACAGGACCCAGGACACAUUUGGGGUCCCUUCCUCAGAAUGGCUGCGUUGAGCCACCCACCUACACCCCAGGCAUCCCUGGUGGCUCUGUGCGGCCCUUCGGGCAGGAAGGGGCAGGGCUGCUGUGCUUGGGAGCCAUCACGGAAGGGAAGAAAAUGGCCAGUUCCUGCCAGCAAAGUUCCCCGGGAUGCUCAGGCGAGGGUGGGAAGGCCGGCUGUCUCUGAGAGGCACUGACUGCGUGGUGGGCCCCGGCACGGUGAGCUGCCCCCUCGCAGCAGGACAGCUGGGCAGAGGGACGCGUCAGGCCCAAGGACCUCUUGUGGCCCCAUGGGCCGCAGGGCCAGCGGUCAGGCACGGCCACAGCCCCGCGAGGCUGCUACUUCCACUGCGCGGCGCUCGCAGCAGGCACAGCCCUGGCCGGGGCGUCCCCUGAGGGGCAUCGAGCGGCCCAGAGGGAGGGCACCGCGCCCUGUGGGCACAGCCCUGACCGGGGCGUCCCCUGAGGGGCAUCGAGCGGCCGAGGGGGAGGGCACCGCGCCCUGUGGGCACAGCCCUGGCCGGGGCGUCCCCUGAGGGGCAUCGAGCGGCCGAGGGGGAGGGCACCGCGCCCUGUGGGCACAGCCCU